AGCUCAAAUCAGGUAAUGGGAACAGUUAUCCUUCUGGCAAACUGAAGCAUUAAAGACUCAUUAGGACCCUCUCCUGAAACUGACGCAUUUAAGACUAACUUAAAGAGACCUUAAGACUUCUAAACUGAAAUGGAAAUAUGAAAAGACACAGGCAGCUUAGAGACUUCAGGAAUCAGACUUUGUUUCCCUCCCGGGUGCAACAAUUAUUUUGAAUGAUUAGGUGCUUUCUCUUUCCAUUUGUUUCGCUCAUAAACCUUGAAAGGUUUGACUAUGAUGUCCUCAUCAAUUCUCCCUGGCUGAGAAGAGCUCGCCUCCGGCGAGAUAAAACUGUAGUAUCUUUCCAAGAUAUCUGGAUUGGUGUGCUGCAGCUCCUCCUUGUCAGAGUCAGGUUUUUCUUUCCAUUUAAUUGAAUACUUCUGGUAGCCUCCUUGUCUUGUUGAAACCACCUGCUCAUCCACAAUGUUUUCUACCACAUCUCUUGGGACGAUGAUGUUAAGCGAUUUUGCCUGCUGCCCUCCCUUGCAAGGUAGUUGGGGUACCGGUUUUGGCUGGAUAGGAUUCAGCUUGAUGUGCUUUCCUUCAUGAAUAAAGGAACACGAGUUGGAACGGCCGGAAAUGGUCACAUCUAGAUCAUACAACCAUGGUCUGCCCAAAAGAAUGUGUCCCACGUCCAUUGGCACCACAUCACACCAAACAGUAUCCUUGUAUGAUGAGAAUUGAAUAGGAACCUGACACCGUUGUGUUACGGGAAUAGAACACUUAUCAAUCCAUGCCACAUGAUAAGGUUGAGGAUGAUCAGCAGGGGACAACCCCAGGUUAGAGAUGGUUGGAGGGGAGACAAUAUUGACACAGCUUCCAUUGUCAAUGAUGACCUUAUAACUUCUGUCUCCAUAAGUGUGAAAGAUGCUGGUCCUCUUCCAAUCUUCAGCCGCUUUGGGUUGAGUCAAAGUGCACCUUACCACCGCCGUUCUUGGUUGAAUUUGGGCAAUAGGUUCAUCCUCCAAGUCAUCAUCAACGGCAGGAAUUUCAGGGAUAUAAACUUCUUCCUCCAAUUCCUCUCAAGCCUCUUUUCCUGUGCUUGCUGCAAACAGACUACGAUGUUUCUCUUUGGUUGGGCAUUGGCCAGCAUAGUGACCAUGGCCUAGACACUUGUAGCACUUUACAGAUCCCCCUCCUCGAACACCAGAUUGCACUCCCUUUCCUGUAUCAGCUUUCACAAAUGAAUUGGCAGUACUGGAGCUAUUGGCAAAUGGAGAUGGUGCUGUUCCCGAUGAGCUGGGACGAAAUUCAGGAUUUUUCUGGUCAAAUCGGCUAUGCACAGUUGUAGGAGUCUGCAAGUAGCGCUCCAAUUCCAGCACUAUCUGGUAUGCUCGCUCCAAUGAAUAUACUUCAUGAGGAAUCAGCUCCCUCUGAAGUUCUGGACAAAGGCCGGUUCUAAAACGAGCGAGUCACAAAAGGAUCUUCAUUUAUGUUGCAUCUCACCAUAAAUUCUUCAAACUUAUCAAUAUACUCAGCAGCUGUCAUGUUCCCUUGACGAAGAGAUUGCCACUGAUUCAGCAAGCGCUCUUUGUAAGCCAAAGGAACGUACUUCUCCUUCAGCCUUUCUUUCAUCUCCUCCCAAUGAAUGAUAGGUUCAUCACCGGCUCUUGCAGCUCGCCUUUCCACACCACUCCACCAUUCUCUAGCUUUGCCCACCAACUUCAUCUUUGCAAACCGCACCCUUCGAGUUUCAGACAACUCGUACCAGUCAAAAUAGUGGUCCAUGUCUGAUAUCCAAUCCAGACACACCUUCGCAUUCAGCUGGCCAUCAAAGUUUGGAGCUUCAACUAUGACAGACUUCAAUGCUUUUUCCUCAGGAUCAUGUCCAUCUUGCCCAUUGUUGUUUCGAACAGCCUGCCUGCGAACAUUCCUCCUAGACUGCAUCCUUGAUCCUCCACCAACACUCUUCUUCGUUCUGGAUAGAAGCUUCGAUUGCAGCCAAACGUUGGUUAUAAGCAACUGCUUGAUCCUGUAUCCUGGUCUCAAGAUGACCAAUUUGAGCGGCUAAGCCUUCAAUUGUUUUAGCCAAGGCUGCAAGAUCCAUGGUUAAAUGAGGAUUCUUGGCUGGAGCUUGGACAGCUCUGAUACCAAAACUGAUGCAGCAAACCUCCUGCUUAGAUACCAGGAUCAACAAGCUCUAAAGCUUGGGGUUUUAAACACACACAAAACACUUGGAUUUGGGAAUCACUCCCUGGUUUCUCACCAAAUCUAGGCUUCUCACCCUAAAACUAGGCUUCACGCCAAUCCCAUCACAGGAAAACUCAGAAACACUCUGAUAAUUUUAUUCAUAUAACAUAGCAUAGCAUCCCUAUGUAGCCCUUACACUUAUUUAUACUUGAGCUGGUAGCUCAAAUGGACUGCACUAAAGACUCUUCUAAAACUGAAGCAUUAAAGACUCAUUAGGACCCUCUCCUGAAACUGAUGCAUUUAAGACCAACUUAAAGAGACCUUAAGACUUCUAAACUGAAAUGGAAAUAUGAAAAGACACAGGCAGCUUAGAGACUUCAGGAAUCAGACUUUGUUUCCCCUCCCGGGUGCAACAAUUAUUUUGAAUGAUUAGGUGCUUUCUCUUUCCAUUUGUUUCGCUCAUAAACCUUGAAAGGUUUGACUAUGAUGUCCUC
rnacentral:lncRNA from 1 species